rnacentral:lncRNA from 1 species
GGCCCUGGGAGAACCAUCUUCCCCGGCUCCUCAGUUCACACCUGCGUCCCCCUGGUUCCCGGGAGGGAGUAAGGGGCUUCAGAAAGUGUAAAGCAUUGGUGGGGGGCACCCCCGAAGCACAUGGAAGUUCCUGGGCCAGGGAUCAAAUGGGUGCUAGAGCUGCAGCAACACUGGAUCCUCAACCCACUGUGCCCGGCUGGGGGCCAAGCCUGCUCCACCACAGACAAUGUUGGAUCCUUAACCUGCUGCACCACUGCGUGAACGCCCGUCAAGCAUUUUUUUAAAUGCAUUUAUUCUGAUGUGUCAGGGGAAAAAUUGACCUCCCACAGUUUAAAUACAAUUUUCAUUGUGCUCGCACUAAUUUUCACCUUUAGCCGACUUUCUGAAACCAAGAGGCACAAACUCCAUGAGAGGAGAUUUUCAUUUGUUAACUCCUAGGUCACCAGCAGCCAAAACACAUACCGGAUGUGCCAUACACAGCAACAGAAUAAAAUUCCAAAGGGUCAGUAAAAGAGAGAUUUCUCUGGAAAAUAAAUGGGUUGGUUCUGCAGAUGCCUUCCUUUGGAAACAGUUUGGGCCGACAGAGAAACCCAGGAGUCAGGCCAUGUAUCCAAUUUGUCAAAAGUCCUAUUUCUUUGACUUCAAGUCUCUCUCCUGCCUGCUUUCUGUCACCCCCCAAUCAAAGAUGCCACAUCUGCUCGGGCAACUGCCACGGCCUCCACCCACCUGCAUGCAUUCGCUUUCGCCACUACGGUGUGUCCCCUGCUUUUUAACUCCAGCAAUCCUCUCAACACAGAAACCUGAUCUUGCCUCCUGUUGCUUAUAAACCCAUGACAGGUUUCCCAAACAAUCCGGACAAAGGCACGAUCCCUCCUAGGGUCUAACACCUGCAUGUCUGACCCCUUCUUCCAUUCACCCUUGUCUCUGCCACUGGGCUCUCUGCAGGCUCACCAGGCUACUUCCAUUCCCCUGGUCCCACAGGCACAUUACAGUCCCCUGCGCCAAAUGAAGCUUUAGCUCCUACGCAUCAUUCAGAGGUCAGCGCAAUUGUCACGUCCUCAGGGAAGCCUUCCAAGCCUUCCCUGACCUCCUCGCCCGGGUCAGAUCCCCUUUCGACAUUCUCAUAGCACCAGCUUCUCUAAUUUAGCAUGCGUGGUGGAAUUCUCAUUGAUUUGUAAGAUAAUUCGUAAUUCUCUCUUCUCCCCCUGGACUGUGUCUUCACAGGACUUCAUGUCUUUUUCGGCUCACUGCUGACAUGUCCAGCACCUUGCCUGGCACACACACCCUGCCUGGCACAUCAUGCCAGCUGCAUAAGUCACUGCCGAAUGAAUGAAUGAAUAUUUAAAAACGCUUAAAGUUUGAUCAAGCAGAAAGUAUCCGGCAAGGCACAAGGAACGAAGGACAAGGUUUUAAAAGCCCCAUUUCCUCCCACAUCUGAAAAUAUGCGCAGAGAUUUUUUUCUUAGCAAAAAGAAAUAUCUCUUUCUCAGCAUGAUCUUUCCAACUUUUGACAUUUACUGAAAGGAGACGCCAGGCUACAGUCACUAAAAGCAGGAGUUCUGACUUUUGCAGGGCUGCUCAGUCAGGUGGUAUCUCCCAAUGUUCUUCGUGGAGAACAAGCUGAAACAGAUCUACGAUUAGAAACCACACAUGCCUCCACAAAGAAACAAGACUGACUGUUCCCGUCCCUCGGAGUUCGUCCACUUAGGAUCCACAGUCCAUUCAUUGUGGGGACAUGUCAUUUGCCAUAUAUUUCAUCUGAGGAAUUUUUUUUUAAGGAUAGAAAUGAAUUUAUUUGCAGACAAGAAACAGGCUCACAGACUUCGAAAAGCAUGGUUACCAAAGGGACAGGGGGAGAGGGAGGGGCUGGGGGGCUGGGAUUGGCAAAUGCACACGGAGGCCUGUGGCACGACUGGCCGACGGGGCCCUGCUGCAGUGCACCGGGAGCCGUAUCCCGCAGUCUGCGGUGACCCGUGCGGGCAAAGGGUCUGAACGGGAACGGAUGUUUCCAUGCGAAUGACUGACUCACUCUGCAGAAAUGACGACGACCCCUAAACCGGCCACAUCGCCAUCAAAGGACUUUCUUAAAAGAAAUGGUCGCCUGUCGAGAAGGAAAGAAAGGGAAAGGCGGGAAGGUGCAAAAUCACAGUCAAACCUCGCUUGAUUUUUCUCAAAAACAGAUUUCAGUAAGAUCAGCCAGCCCAGUCCUCAAGCUCGUCACCGUCACGGUCCCCUCGACUGGACCUUCGUAGGUCAGACCCCGUGUCCUGCUUCUCAUCUGUGCCCAAGACUCUCUUUGGCCAUAUUUGGACAUGCGGAAGUUCCUGGGCCAGGGAUCAAACCCGCACCACAGCAGGGACCUGAGCCGCAGCAGCUGACAAUGCCGGAUUCACAUACAGUAUGUGAACUCUCUGCAGUCUCCCAAAUCAAGAUAAACCCUGUCUAAGGCUAAAACUUCUCCAGCAUGUGGCCCUUCUCUGCCCAGCCAAUCUUAUUUCUCACCACUGACUCCAAACAUGCAAUGCUGAAUUUUCUUUUCAUUUCUUUGUUUCUCUUGACUUUUUAGGGCCACACUCAAGGCGUUAUAGAAGUUCCCAGGCUAGGGGUUGAAUCAGCCCUGCGGCUGCCAGCCUACACCACAGCCACAGCCACGCAGGAUCUGAGCCUCAUCUGUGACCUACACCAUAGCUCAAGAGGCACAAACUCCAUGAGAGGAGAUUUUCAUUUGUUAACUCCUAGGUCACCAGCAGCCAAAACAACACAUACCGGGUGUGCCAUACACAGCAACAGAAUAAAAUUCCAAAGGGUCAGUAAAAGAGAGAUUUCUCUGGAAAAUAAAUGGGUCCAGAUCCUUAACCCACGGAACGAGGCCGCAGAUCGAACCUGAGUCCUCCUGGAUCCGAGUCCAGUUCCUGACCACUAAGCCACAAGGAGCUCCAACGGCAGAUUUUCUCACUGUUUUCCUGAGAGAUGUUAUUUUUCUCCUGUUAUUAGAUCAAAUUGUCCCCCUUGCUUAGAAUCGCCCUUUCUUCCCUUCGAUUUUCAAGGCUCAGAUCAAGAGUCACUUUUAUAAAAUACUGCCAAGGCAAUGUCAGUCUUCUCUUCCAACUAAAUGGCGAAUAACUGGACCAUUUUGGUUUAUGCUACCUACUCUUUGGAUUAACUAGUAAAGUUCCAGACAUGGAAGACAUGCAGUGCCCCUGGCUCAUGGAUUAAUUACUUAGCUCACUGACUGAUUGAUCAAACUCCUCAGUUAAAAAAAAAAAAAAAUGCAUGCAGAGAUAUAAAGGAUUUCAGGCACAUUUGCUAAACUCAUUUGCAAAACAAUCUUUUUUCAGGAGUCAACAUAGCCUUUUUAUAUUUGCCUUUACAUUUUUUCCUUGCAAAUUUAAAAGAAGAACAAAAAACAACUAGCAACUAUGUGGAUCUUGGAUAAGAUCCUAACAUUAGGUUUUCUCAAAUCCCACAUUCAUCAGAUAUUUAUACAGUUUAAAAAGCACACUGACCUAUAUGGAAACUCCCCGUAAGUGAGGCUGCAUGUUUGUUUAGCUGUUGUAUAUCUUAGACAUGCACAGACGUCACACCAAGUCAAAAUAAAGAAAAAGAGAAAUGGGCCAAAAAGGAGCGUAAGAAGAAACUAUGUGCUGCUGGCUGCUUUGGGAUAAGAAGGGAACUGAUUUUUUUUUUUUUUUUUAAUGCAUUUGCAACUUUCAGUCUCAUAGACUUACCCCCACUUCCAGCCCAAGCUCUCCGUCUUUAGCUUCAGAAUGCAACUACAGCUAAUCUACGCUGGGUACAUUUUUCAACUACAAUAUUGAAAGAACUAAAAAAACCAUGCAGUUUAUGUGAGCCAUGGUGCAGUCUGAGGAAGACCAGACAUAAAGCUUUGGUUUGAAAAGCAGGUGGUACUUAGUAGACCAUUGCCCUGUUUAUAAUACAAAAACGGGGAAGUUUACAGUAUUAAAUCCCCAUUUGGCACAAAGCUGUGCCUUUGCACAGAGAGUGCUUUCUUCCAGAAGUGGCCCCUGAGCACGGCAACCCAGAUGUCAGGACUUUUAAGUUCUACCUCUCCCUAAUUUCUUCUACUUCUGUUUUCAGAUUCCAGAAUUCUGCAAAGCCUUCUACAAAAGUGCUAGUAAAGAUGACUAGCAUUUUAGGAGUGGCUGUGAACACUAAUUUCACUUGGUCUUAGCCAAAAGGCUGAGAAGCGACUGCUAACACUCAUUUCAGAGGGAAAAAAAAUGUAAUAACCCAUCUGCUAUGGAAAGUGCUACUAUUAGUAAAGUAUCUCUGAGAUAGUUUUUAAUCCAGAAAAAUGUAGAGAGAACCUACAAACAGCACUGAACACAAAACCCCUAAAGUAGUGCUGUCCAAUAAAAAGAUAAUAUAAUACCCACUACAUGUCAUUUUAAUCUUAUAACCAAAUGAAAAUAUGUAGACAAAUAAAAUUAACUUAUUUAUCCUACAUUACCCAGAAUAUUCAGAAUAUUAUCAUUUCAGCAUGUGAUCCAGAUAGCUCAUUAUAAAAGAGAGAUUUUAUAUCCUUUUUUCUUAUUAAGUCCUCAAAAUCUGGUGUCAGUUUUACGCGUAUAGCACAUCCAAAUCACAGCAGCCACAUUCCAAGGGCUUACAGCCACAUGUGGCCAGUGGCUUCUCACUGGCAAACGUAACUGUCAGGGCCAAGUCUGAGGUGAGAGAUUACAAACCAGAGUCAAUUUACCCCUUGUCUCAUUUCUUCCCGAUCCCCAGAAUACGCUGCAUAGCCAGUGGCCCUCAAAAUUCUUUACCACCUUUGCUGCUUUUCAUUAGGAAAACCGCCUUCUGUUUGCUGCAUAAAAGCAGUCAAGCUAGAUGGCCUGAGGUGAAACCCCACCUCCAUCUCUUACUGGUUGUCUGACAACCGUGGACAGAGCAUGAAAACUCUUCAUCUCUCUUGCUGUCGCUCAUCUACAAAACAACACAUGAAUAGAUCCCCUUACAGGCUUCUUGGCUCUUUUAAAUCUUUUUCAAAAAAAAAAAUGGGUUGAUACCUGUCAAACGCUUAUGAGAGGGCUAGCGAAUGAUGUUUAAUAGCAACAUUAUUUCUUUAAGAGUUAGCUGUUAACACUACUUUGCAUGGUUUUUCAGACAUGAUGGAGAUGAGUAAAUAUCACCGGCUGGAAGACCCCUAGGAAAAUCCUGACUUGGAAGACGCAGCUUCUCAAGGGAACUGACCCCUCUGCGCAUCCGAAUUAGAAUGAGGACUCAGAUGAGAACGCAGCUUUCCCUCAUUCGGCAGUACUUAGCCAGGUGCUCCACUGAGCAUCGCACAAGAUGCUGUCUCUGCUGCAGUGCAUUUCCACUCUCUUUUCCUUGCAUACACCCGUCCUUAGGGUGACGUUUGUCUGCAAGCAGCCGAACACGCCCAUCGUUUUGGCUUUUGCAAAAAUACAGACGUUCAAAGACAGGGUUACAACCCCAGUCAUCGUGCAAUCCGAACUCCCCCUGGGAUCCGGCAGUGCUCCUCUCAGCCUUCCUCUAGCUUCAGUUCUGUCCGCAGACUGGCUUCUGCCAGGGUCACAGAAUGACUGCCACUAGUGAGGGGAGUGAUGGAGACAAAAAGGCAGCUCCGCCAGCUGCAGGGAAAACGGUGUCUACUGGGGGCAACCCGUAGUGGUGCAGAGCAGAAACCGCGCACUGAUCGGCUUAAGGCUGGGUUUUCUAAGCAUCUUUAGCAAAGGAAUGGAAUCAUCACCCAGAUCCAACACCACUCUCUGGUCCAGGAGGGAGCGUGUGGAGGGCUGAGGUGGGUGGCUGAAGGAGAGGAGGGUGGUGUCUGUCUGUUUGAUUUGGCUUUUUAGGUCCGCACUCACAGCACAUGGAGGUUCCCAGGCUAGGGGUCACAUCGGAGCUGCAGCUGCCCGCCUACACCACAGCCACAGCAAUGCCAGAUCCAAGCCACAUCGGCGACCUACACCACUGCUCGCUGCAACGCCAAAUCCUUAACCUGCUGAGCAAGGCCAGGGAUCGAACCUUCAUCCUCAUGGAUGCUGGUCAGAUUCGUUAACCACAGAGCCAUGACAGGAACUCCAAAAUUAGGUUUUGUUAGUUAGUAAGGAGGAACUGAAACUGUGUGGCUAGUCAACAGUGUCUAUCACACACUGCUUAAAAGGAAUUUAGAUUCCUGCGAUUGUCCUAAAGUCACUGAAGACUGAAAAGGUAGCUGGGGAGAAAUGAAAUUUAGGACAUGCAUGAUUUUUAUCCUAACUGCAUGGUCUGCUGUGUUUAUCAGUUCAGCCCUGUCUGAAAAGUGUUAAAUGAACAAAUACAUUUAAGACAAGGAAUAGAUUUAGAAAUAUGAUUGCAGCUCUACUUCUUACAACAUAAUUUCCUAGUCUAUUGCCUGUUCUCUUGGAAUUAGUUUUUCCUUUCCAACUCGCCCUUACAUAUGGAAGUCAGAUUAUUUUUCAUGAACGCCAACUUGCCCAUAUACCAUCUUUCAUUCAAACAAUUUCAGUGCUUUCCCAUGUCCAAAGGAGCACAGAAAGAGCUGGAGGAGUUCUCUUGUGACAGAGAGGGUUAAGGAUCCAGUGUUGUCACUGCAGUGACGGAGGUUCUGUCCCUGGCCUGGGAACAUCCAUAUGCUGUAGGUGAGACCAAAAAAAAAAAAAGCCUAGAUCGGAGUUCCCACCGUGGCUCAGUAGCAACAAAUCUGACUAGUACCCAUCAAGUCGCAGAUUCAAUCCCUGGCCUCCCUCAGUGGGUUAAGGAUCCAGCGUUACUGUGGCUGUGGUGUAGGCCAGCGGCUGCAGCUCCAGUUCAACUCCUAGCAUGGGAUCCUCCAUGUGCUGCAAGUAUGGCCCUAAAAA